UACGUAGGGUCCGAGCGUUGUCCGGAAUUACUGGGCGUAAAGAGCUCGUAGGUGGUUUGUCGCGUUGUUCGUGAAAACUCACAGCUCAACUGUGGGCGUGCGGGCGAUACGGGCAGACUGGAGUACUGCAGGGGAGACUGGAAUUCCUGGUGUAGCGGUGGAAUGCGCAGAUAUCAGGAGGAACACCGGUGGCGAAGGCGGCAUCCUGGACCACGACUGACACUGAAAAGCGAAAGCCAGGGGAGCAAAUGGG
rnacentral:rRNA from 1 species